rnacentral:rRNA from 1 species
UACGUAGGGUGCAAGCGUUGUCCGGAAUUAUUGGGCGUAAAGAGCUCGUAGGCGGUUUGUCGCGUCUGCUGUGAAAAUCCGGGGCUCAACCCCGGACUUGCGGUCGAUACGGGCAUCACUGGAGUUCGGCAGGGGAGACUGGAAUUCCUGGUGUAGCGGUGAAAUGCGCAGAUAUCAGGAGGAACACCGGUGGCGAAGGCGGGUCUCUGGGCCGAUACUGACGCUGAGGAGCGAAAGCGUGGGGAGCGAACAGG